rnacentral:rRNA from 1 species
GGCGAAGCCGCGAGGCAGAGCGAACCCCAAAAAAGCCGUCCCAGUUCGGAUCGCAGGCUGCAACCCGCCUGCGUGAAGUCGGAAUCGCUAGUAAUCGCGGAUCAGCAUGCCGCGGUGAAUACGUUCCCGGGCCUUGUACACACCGCCCGUCACACCAUGAGAGUCGGGAACACCCGAAGCCCGUAGCCUAACAGCAAUGAGGGCGCGGUCGAAGGUGGGUUCGAUAAUUGGGGUGAAGUCGUAACAAGGUAUC